rnacentral:rRNA from 1 species
UACGAAGGGGGCGAGCGUUGUUCGGAAUUACUGGGCGUAAAGGGCGCGUAGGCGGCCGAUCAAGUCAGAUGUGAAAGUCCUGGGCUUAACCUGGGGACUGCAUUUGAUACUGAUUGGCUUGAAUGCAGGAGAGGAUAGCGGAAUUCCCAGUGUAGAGGUGAAAUUCGUAGAUAUUGGGAAGAACACCGGUGGCGAAGGCGGCUACUCUGAGACUGUGAUUGACGCUGAGGCGCGAAAGCGUGGGGAGCAAACAGG